GGGUAUUGAAGUAUUAAGGAUUAAUAUUAUCUAAACUAAGUUAUGCUAAGUAGAUAGAUCGGCCCACACUCAAGGUCCAAUAGAAUAGUUAGUAUAAAUAGUAUUGUUGUAAUUAUUUUAUUUAUUUUUGAUAAAUCUUAAUACAAAGCAAAACCCUAGGGUUUCCCAAACGUCUCAUCUCCCCUCCGCGACUCCUCACUAUCCUCGUCAGUCUCCCAACGCUGCUCCGACUCACACGUCACCGGACUCACUACUCUCUUCAAGGUUAUCGAUUUUUUGAUACAGAUCUAAAGAUCCAACACCCUAUCUGGUUAACUCGUAUCACAAUAUUCUUCUCAGGUGGAACUACUUGAUCAUUAAGGAUCAAGUCAGACAAAUGGUGGAGUUGCAAGAGACUUUUGAUUUAAGCACGCCAAAACAGAUAGGUAUCGUUGCGAGGUUCCAACGGAUUUCUCACCCAAUGUGAAACUUGGCAUCGAUGAACGUUAUCUGACAGUAGCGAAGUGGGGGAAUUUGAAGAAGAUUCUUGAGUGGUCAUCGUCGUUGAUUUGGUGGAGAUAGAAAAUCUCCAGAUUGUGUACGUUUACCACCUGAGAUGAGAAGAGAUGAAAACAAAAGAGGAGAAAAAAGAAAACAAUUAUAGGGAAAAAACUAACCUGGCCUAAUGAGCAUUAUCUGGAGUAGUGGGGUCAUCGGUGUUGGUUUGUUGAAUUGGCAGAGAUGGUUGUUGGCGGUUAUGAUGUCCGGUGGUCUUGGCUGGCCGAAUAUUUGGUCUAUAACCUAACGAGCACAGCUUGAAGACCGUCUACCAGGUGAGUGACCGUACCCGAGGAUGUGGUUUGAAGUUUCGAUGUAGCUUCCACCCGUCAAUACAGUGAUGAGUUGCUAGAUUCUGCACGAUCGUUGUCUGCAGGUGGAAGACCAGAGUUCUCGUUUGCCAUGGAGGUGAGUUACGGAAUCUGAAAGCACCAAAUGUAGAGACUUAGGUGCUAGCUCCGACGAUGAUAACCGUUAAACUAAAAAAAAUUAAUACCAAGCAGAAAAAUAUCGUAAAACCUCCGUAGCUAGGGGUGAGAACGAGACGGGUCCCCUCUGGUGUUGGAUCGUGAUCUGAGGCUAUAAGGGGGGAUAAUAGCCUCUUUUCGAUUUAUACAGGUUGAUUGUGAAAUUACCUGUAAACACUUAAUAAACAAAUGGUUGAACAAUAAUGAUAUAGAGAUAUUAUAACUUUGAUUGAUAUAAUAACGUAAUUAUUACUCUUCGAAGCUUACCACAGUAUAUGAAUACUGAGUCAACUUGCUUGAUAGUGUCUUACAAACAACUAUAGUAUAUGAGUACUAAAUUAUAUUGUAAACACAAAUUGUAUUGUAGAGUAAAUGACUAGAUAACUGGAUAUUUUGAUAAGCAAGUAAAUGAUCAGAUAACUGGAUAUAUAUGAUAAGUAAAUGCUUGAACAAAUAUAAGGAUUUAAAGCAAUGAAUAUAAC
rnacentral:lncRNA from 1 species